CAAAUACAACAAGAAAAUUAAAGAUGUAAUUAUGCUUAAAAACAAGAUAAACAUAACUCUGAAAAAUACAAAGUGAAGACUGAUGCUGAAGCCACAGCCCUGCUAUGCUGAGAGUCUGGAAGGAGGCUAAAAACAUCCAAGACAAUUACUACUCAGGGUGAAGUCUAGGGCGGCGGGAAGAAACAGACACAAGCUAGCAGCCCACUCAUGGGCCAGUGUCACCUGAGGCAUGACUGACGUUUACCAGUGUCACCGUGUGCUAGGAGUCCUGAUCUGUCAAUACAUGACUUGCUCCAGGCUUAGAGGUCCUGGGAGAAGUAACCACAAAAUGGUAGGGGAGAGAAGACCUCCCUACCCCCACUCUACCUCUCUCUGCUUCCACCUCCUCCCAACUAACUCUGACUGUAUGGAUUUGCAAUCCAAGAUUCCAGCACAUCUAAACUACUAAAGAUAGCCACCAAAGUCAACAUAGGGAGAUUAUUCAAGAUUAAAUGAAAAUAGAGCAGUCUGAUCCAGGCUGUAAAAUGCGUGUUUAGAAUUAUCAGAGGUGAAAGAAAUUACAGCUAUAAGAAAAUACGAAACACAACAGGCAGAAAGGAAAUAUUAGUAGGUGGAUGUGAACAAAAAUGUACAAAUGCUGGAAAUAAAAAAUAGGCGUUGAAAUGUAAAUCUUAGCAAAUGAAGCAACACACUAGACAGAGAUGUAGAUAAGGCUAGCAAAUUGGAAUUUAUGCUGAAGAUUUACCCAGAAUGCAGUGGAGGAGGAGUAAAAAUGUUUUAACAGAAUAGUUGGGUCACAUAGAGGGCAGACCUAAGCCUCCAACCCAGAUCUGAUAGAUUGUUCUAGAGAAGAGAGAAGGAGCAGUGGCAGACAAGCACUAUUCAGAGAGAUGAAGGCUGAGGAUUUACCAGAAGCAAAAUAAGACAUGAGUUUUCAGAUUAAACACACACAAUGCAUUCCUUAACAAGAUGAAUUAAAGUAAAUCCACAAGUCCACCCCUAGACAUGUUGCAGUGAAAUAGCCCAACACAGGGAUAAAGCAAAAACCUCCCAAACUACCAGCAGAGGCAACAGGUAACCUGCGAAGGAGGGACAGUUUUAAGGUUGUCUUUUUUUCUGUCCACAGUUUUACUGCAUCACAAGCCUUGAUCCCAAAUGUUAAGGCAGUGGGUUAUUGCUUAUGCCCUUAAGUAGCCACAGAUUUAGUGGGACAGAGACCUCCGUUUGAGCAGCCACCCUCUGCUACACACUGUAUCAGAAGAUGUAGGAGUUGUGGUGUUUCUUCGCAUGUUUGUAGACGAAGAACCUAGAGGCUCAGAGGUGCUAAAUGAUGACACAUUCAAGGCCAUGGCUGUAGGAGACCAAGUUCAGGCUAUGACCCAGAACCUGUGCUCUGUCUACCUCUCCUCAUGGUGGUAAAUCACCUAAGCAGACGUCCCAAGUAUCUGGAGUUACUUCUCCAAACUAAAGUGUAAAUUUAAGAUCUCUUACUGGGCUCCUAUUGAGGCAGACAGUCUUUCUUGCCAGCAUUGUGAGCUGUCUUCUAGCUUCUGGGUGUGGGUCAGCUGCAUCCUGGUGAAGGAGAUGGAAGGGCUGGCUGGUUACCCUCCCAUGCAACCAACAGGCUAAAUACCUGGUAUAUUCCCUGCUUCUUUAGCCACCUCCCAGUUUUUUGUUUGUUUGUUUAACAAAAAAAA
ensembl:lncRNA